UGUCACUUUGGUUGCAGCAGCAUCUCACUACUUGAUUUGAUAGCUAAAAUGAAGAGACCUUGCUAACACCAAUGUCUUGGUAUGGUAAUGACAUACCAGACUAGAUGUGUCUGGAAAAAGACUGUGGAGGAAUGAGAAAGGAAGAAGGGUACUGCAUGUUUGUGAGCACUAUGCCCAGUAAGGAGGCAGUUUUCAAGUUGAGCUUUUUGAGUCCAAAAAGUGAGAAAAGGAAUGACCACUCCUUCUUAUCAGUUGCUUUGACUAGCACAUAAGAUGCUUUGGAUUUCCAAGUAUUCAGCCUGGUGGAGCGUUGGAGAACUUCCCUUGGAGCACAGCAGCAUCCCCCUUCUCGACAUGCUCAGAUUCCCAUCAGCUGAGCUCUACUUACCCUGCAGCUUGGCUCCAUCUUGAUGCCUUCAUAGCAUUUUAGACAAAAUGGGCGUGUUUAACUUGUCACCUCAAGCCUAGUAUAAAUUAUUAACCAGCGCUUUGCACAGAUUUGUGAGAUAACCAGCCUGAACUCAGAGAAACUUCACAGGUUUGACUGUAGUUGUGUAUUU